UGCAACUGGAGCCAGUUUUGCCCUACAUUUUGUUUCAGCAAAAGAAGCCACUUUGCUAGUAACUUUAAUGAGUACACAGAAAUAUUGCCUUCUCUUUUUCUGUCAGCUCAUAACAAUUAUACAUUGUUCAACUUUUUACAGUCAACAAGGCACAAUGCAUCAGACACAUGUGAAACAUCGAACUGUGGUAUGGAGAAUAUUAUGAAGAGAUCUGUAUGUAAGAGUGUAAUUUGAGAUAAUACAUGACGUUUCCCAAACGAACAGAUUGGACAUCAUGCAGAACCCCUGUUUGUUUUACCUGGGCUAAUUUGUAAAAGCAGGAUUUAGCUCCCAGACAGUCACUCAAAUCCUUGUAUGAAGAAGGAGAGCUGUGCAUGGACCGUGCCACUGCCACGCAGGUUCCCUCUUUUCCAGGCUGGAACAUGAGAAAAAGGCAGGCUCAACUGGGAGAAAGGACUGCAAUGAAAGGAGAGUGCUAAGGCAGCUAACUCAAGGGACAUCUCUCAAGGAAAGGCUCUGGGAAUAGAGAAAAAGAGGACCAAGCAACAGAAAGCAACACCAGUAGAGUGGCUUCCUAGAGCCUUCCUUUCUCACUCAAGGUGGAUUACAAAAUAUGGAAAAAAGCCAUUCGAUCAAACAACGAGGACUCCAAUAGACAGUGCAGCAGGACUAGGAUUACAGAAUUGGAAAACGAUGCAAACAAAACACUGUCCAAGGCAUGACAAUGCCGUAAUGCAGGAGGAGUACAAAGGCAAUUGGAGCAAACAUCUUUUAAAGGCAGCUCUUCCACUAUGAAAUGGCAAAACCACAGAAGCCACCAGGCUAUCCACAGCUUUAGAAGUGAUUCCUACAUGCUUAUUCAUGCAAGUUCAUGUAAGAUAAAACAGUUCCUAUCUAUAAAACAAGCUUAAGUGCCUAUUACCUUCAGAUCUUUGAUGGGAUACAGUCAAGCUGAUUUAACACAAGUGCUACUGGCAAUAGCUUUUAUGUUUUUCGCUCAUGUGUGGGCAGAAAUGUUUGGAAGGCAUAUGAACUAGCAACCUUGAUGAAUCUAAGGA